GACGCGCCACAUAGUGCCAGCAACCCCCACACCCCGACACCAACGCCGUCUCCGGAGUGACCUCUCCGAGAGCAGGGCGCCGCUGCCGUCAGCCGCGCCGCGCCGCCGCACAUUGUCGUAAAACGCGCUCCACAGCUUCGCCGCACCCCGCCCCGGGCCAGAAGGGGGUGGGACGUCGGUCGGCUCUUCCUCCCGCGAGUAGGGGAGAGGGUGGCCGGCGGAGCGCAGGGCAGGCGGCUUGGGAGCCGCAGCGGCCGGGGUCGACGCUGGCGCGAGCCUGAGCACCGACAGCAGUGGAAGCUGGAGGGGUCCUAGGAAAGGAAGGCAUCGCAGGGCGGGAAGGGCGCGGCCGGGAGGAGGGCGGGGCCUACGAGGUGGCGAGAGCCCUGCGGACGCAGGCCGAGCGGUCGGAGAGGUUUGUAGCAUCACCGGACGUCGGAGUGGAGCCGGGCUCCCCAGCCAGAGGGCGUGAAGGGCGGCCAAGCGGAAGACUCCUUCCCCCCACGGAGGUGUGCCCGAGCGGGACUAGGCAUAUGCCUCGUAGGAAGAUGCACGUUUACGGGACAGAUUUGCGUUUCUCAUUUCCUGUCGAGAGCUUUGUUUUGCUUGCGGUGACGUGCACAAGGCCGACCCGUAAGCCCUCGUGAGGGCAAGGACCAAGUCUCUGGUGCCUCGGUGCCUCCGCAGGCUUUGGUCCAUAGUAUCCGGUAAAUACUGGAGGUUAAGGGCGGUUCGUUUGAAUUAAUAAACGAGAAGUUACCGUCAGCCAUUUGUUAGGUAUACCCCUCUUGUGGGGUCAUCACGCUAUAAUAAGCACAAAAUACCUCAUUUCUGACCUGAGGGUGACAGUAGGAGGAAGCACGUGCUGUAUUUUUAUCUCCCAAGUCCCCAGUGUACAGAUGGUCAUAGGACACCAAGAACAGAAGAAAUAGGAAAAACCGACGUGUCAGUCUUGCUAGUCAUGAACCAUUUGGAAAAUCAAAACAACCUCGAGGCACUAUUUCAUACCUAUUAAAGUAGUAAACUUUAAAAAAGCAAAAACCCAGUAUUCAUGAGAUUGCGGAUUGAGUGGACCCAAUACAGUGGUGGUUUUUUUUAGAUGGCAGUGUAAGAAGUGGCAGACUGGGGGAAAAUGUUUACAUCUUUCCCCAAAAUUCUAUUCUAGUACCCUUAAAGCAUUCAGAACAAGGUUAAAAACCAUUCUGGUGUCUUUAGAGCAAAAAGGACUGGAUAAACCUAACUCUCCAAAAAUGAGGAAAGUUUAAGAAGUCACAGCUGCCUAACAAAGUAAUAUGUAGGCAAUACAACGGAGAAAACUUGCAGAUUAAAUGGAAAGGUACGUUUGAAAUUCUAAGAGUAGAGCAAUUAUAUUACAAGUAUGUAAAGCAAUUUAGUGAAUAACAACUGGAAGAAUAAUUGUGAUCAGUGAGAGGGCUUAUACUGUAACUUUAUAAAUUAUUAUGAAAAUGUUUCAACGAUUUUGAAUUGACCAGAGUAUCUCACUACUUACGAUGUAUUUGAGUUUGAAAACUAUCUAAUAAAUUAGCCUUUGGAUGAUA